AGAGUUUGAUCAUGGCUCAGAGCGAACGCUGGCGGCAGGCCUAACACAUGCAAGUCGAACGGGCCCCUUCGGGGGUCAGUGGCAGACGGGUGAGUAACGCGUGGGAACGUGCCCAUCGGUUCGGGAUAACCCAGGGAAACUUGGGCUAAUACCGGAUACGCCCUUUUGGGGAAAGAUUCAUUGCCGAUGGAUCGGCCCGCGUCUGAUUAGCUAGUUGGCGAGGUAACGGCUCACCAAGGCGACGAUCAGUAGCUGGUCUGAGAGGAUGAUCAGCCACACUGGGACUGAGACACGGCCCAGACUCCUACGGGAGGCAGCAGUGGGGAAUAUUGGACAAUGGGCGCAAGCCUGAUCCAGCCAUGCCGCGUGAGUGAUGAAGGCCUUAGGGUUGUAAAGCUCUUUCACCCACGACGAUAAUGACGGUAGUGGGAGAAGAAGCCCCGGCUAACUUCGUGCCAGCAGCCGCGGUAAUACGAAGGGGGCUAGCGUUGCUCGGAAUCACUGGGCGUAAAGGGCGCGUAGGCGGCCGAUCAAGCCAGGGGUGAAAGCCUGUGGCUCAACCACAGAAUUGCCUUUGAUACUGUUUGGCUCGAGACCGGAAGAGGUUGGUGGAACUGCGAGUGUAGAGGUGAAAUUCGUAGAUAUUCGCAAGAACACCAGUGGCGAAGGCGGCCAACUGGUCCGGUUCUGACGCUGAGGCGCGAAAGCGUGGGGAGCAAACAGGAUUAGAUACCCCUGUAGUCC
rnacentral:rRNA from 2 species